GUUGUCGUCAGCUCGUGUCGUGAGAUGUUGGGUUAAGUCCCGCAACGAGCGCAACCCUUAAGCUUAGUUGCCAUCAUUAAGUUGGGCACUCUAAGUUGACUGCCGGUGACAAACCGGAGGAAGGUGGGGAUGACGUCAAAUCAUCAUGCCCCUUAUGAUUUGGGCUACACACGUGCUACAAUGGACAAUACAAAGGGCAGCGAAACCGCGAGGUCAAGCAAAUCCCAUAAAGUUGUUCUCAGUUCGGAUUGUAGUCUGCAACUCGACUACAUGAAGCUGGAAUCGCUAGUAAUCGUAGAUCAGCAUGCUACGGUGAAUACGUUCCCGGGUCUUGUACACACCGCCCGUCACACCACGAGAGUUUGUAACACCCGAAGCCGGUGGAGUAACCUUUUAGGAGCUAGCCGUCGAAGGUGGGACAAAUGAUUGGGGUGAAGUCGUAACAAGGUAGCCGUAUCGGAAGGUGCGGCUGGAUCAC
rnacentral:rRNA from 1 species